GACAGUUUGGCCGAGUGGUCUAAGGCGCUGGCUGAAGGCGCCAGUCCGAAAGGGCGUGGGUUCGAACCCCACAGCUGUCA
rnacentral:tRNA from 1 species